GCAAACACGUCCACUUGGGGCCCACAUGGGCCUCACUUGGGCUAGUUGGGCUUUGGCUGGGCAUGGGCUCAGAGUGGGCUUUGUUGUUGGGCCCCACAUGGGCAGUAGAUGGGCUAAACUCAGUGGGCUCCAGCUAGGGCUCCACAAGAUAUUAUGUUUUUAUAUAUAUAUUCAAAAUUAAUUAUGUCAGACAUGGAUGCUUUUUUUAACAAUAGCCACUAGGCUAGGGUCACUUUUUAUAUGAAUAUUAUUAGACUAUUAAGCUAUUUAGAAGCCAUAGCAAUUUAAUAGUGGUCUGAAGCACUAUACAACUUUCAACAGACAAGUUUGCCACAGCAGGUUGCACAAAAUGUUCAAACCUAAGCAGUGCGCACUGUGUGCAGCGCACAUCCGGAAAGCUCCACCCCAAUCACUGAGCGAAAGAAGUUUGCCCAGCAACAAUUUUGCCGCCUUGAGUCUGCUGUCCGUUAAGGAUCCAUUACGGUGUCGACUGGACAAAAGACAGAAUAAUGGAGUGUUCAGAAAGAACUAAAAGGAGGAAAAUAUCAGCGAAAGUGGAGGAACAUUUGCGUCUCCUUGAAAAGGAGUCUAUGAUUGAUGAUUUGUUGGCACAUGAUUCUGAAAACGAAUACCAACUGGAUGAUUUGUUAGAGCAUACUGAAAGUGAAGAUUCCAUGGACACUUUCUACGAUGCUUGUGAUCAGAACUGUUUUGAGAAUUCAUCAAUUGAUUUAGAAGAUGAAAAUUCCUCAGAUUCUUUUUAUGAUUUUAACAUUUCCUCAUUUGAUGAUUUGGAUUCUGAAAACCGGGUUCCAGGUGAUAUGCCUGGUUGUGAUAGUGACUGUGAUUUGCAUGGAGAUGUGUGUUCUGACUUGGAAGAUGACAAUGAUGAUGAUUCGCAUGGGAUUGCAGAGUGGGCUGCAGAAUUCAACAUACCACAAACAGCGCUGUCUGCACUUCUUAAAAUCCUAAGGAGAAAGGGUCUUGAUAUCCCAAUGGAUGGCAGAACUCUUAUGUCAACUGACAGAUCUUGCAAUGUGGCGAAUAUGGCUGGGGGGUCCUACUACCACUUUGGAAUCGAAAAUGCUCUCAUAGCUGAACUAACAUCUUUAGGACAUUUAGCAAAUGUGACUGAUACUCUCACACUUCGAAUUAACAUCGAUGGAUUGCCCUUAUUCCGUAGCUCCAGUUUGAGUCUGUGGCCUAUUCUGGGUAUGAUUAAGGAAAUUCCAGAGUGUAGUGUCUUUGUAAUUGGAGUGUACUCUGGUGUGUCCAAACCCGCAAAUGUGCAAGAGUAUUUACAAGAAUUCAUUGUAGAUAUGAAAGCAAUUUCUCAGAGUGGUAUUGUGUACAAUGGUGUACAUUUCAGGGUACCAUUACCUGAUGCUUUUAUUUGUGAUGCACCUGCUCGUGCCUUUCUUAAAUGCUCCAAAGGCCAUACGGGCUAUUAUGGGUGUGAGAGGUGCACUCAAAAAGGCCAGUACAUUAAUGGGAAGGUGGCUUAUCCUGAAAUAUCAGCAGAGCUCAGGACAGAUGAGCAAUUUGGCAGGCAAGGCUAUCAACAGCACCAAAUGUCAGCCUCCCCCCUAAAUGACCUGGGUAUAGGUUUAGUUACCAGUUUUGUGUUAGAUUAUAUGCACCUUGUCUGCUUGGGGGCAAUGCGUAAGUUAAUAUUUCUUUGGUUGAAGGGGCCGCUGAAAUGCAGGCAAUCUAUGAAGUUUUUUGUUGUAAUGUCAGCAUAUAUGGUUUCUAUCAGGCAAUAUUUACCUAGCAAUUUUGCAAGGAAACCACGAUCCUUGUUUGAAUUCAGCACAUGGAAAGCUACAGAGCUUCGGCAAUUUUUACUUUACACUGGGCCUGUUGUUCUCCUCAAUAAUAUGAAUGAAACUAAUUGCCACUCAUUUGUCUGCCUCCCAAAGCAACGUAUGAAAUUGCCCGCACAAAAUUAGUCGAGUAUGAACAGAACACAGAUGUACCAACCGAAUCUGAUUCUACAGAGAAUAUGGGAAGGGGGAAGCGCAAAAAGAGACGAGUGAUUUUGUCCAGUGACGAUGAGGAUGAUGUCAAUUGGUCCGGCAGCCAAAUCAGGCCUACACCUCCAUCCACCCUCAGGUCUGUGCUGACACCUGCACCGCCUCCAUCCACCCUCAGUUCUUCACCAUCAUCUGCUAGGCCGACACUUCCACCACCUCUGGGUAACCUGAGAUGGCCUGAUGUUUCAACCCAUCACCACGUCACCACGUCACCAGAAACCUCUCAAAGACAAAUCAGGGGCAACAUGUUUGUUCGCAUCUUAACACUGAUUGAGGAGAUGAAAGAGACACAAAAAAUCCAGGGGAGGAUGUUACAAACGCUUCUACAACAGCGUGGCAACAUCGGCACCACCUUCUCUUCUACCCCCGAGGGUUUCCCCCUAAAGACAGUUAGGGAUGUGGAAAUCAUGGAAGAAAAACUGGCAAACCCAAACUUCAUGUCCGAACUGGUAUGCAUGUUAAGUCUAGGGUAGUGCAACUCAAUUAAAUUUUAUUGGGGGGCUUGCAGUGAAUUUGAUCUGAAACUUCCCAAGUGUGCUCACAACUUUUUGACAAGUUUUAGAUAAUUAGUUUAUUAAAUUAAUAAAGAGACAAAAAAUACCUUGAGAUAUGUUUGGUAAUUGUAUCUGAAUGAAUUUAAAGUUAAUUUGCUAUAUUUCAGAUCAAUAUAUUUGUUUUCCUUCAUUUUAAUUAACACUAACUUUAUUCUCAUCUGAAUUAUAAAUACUUUAUUUCUGUAUAAAAUAAUACUACCAUUAAAAACAUUUGAUUUUUAUUUUUUAAUCAAUGUAAUGAUGCCCCUACCAUUUCGAUUCAAUACGAAUACAUGUACCGUUCCACGCCUAGCUCACACCCAUGCUUCUGGCAGUUCUUUCAUGUUGAGUGGUUUACUCCAGUGAGCAAUAUACUGUAGAUAAAUUUGCUUU